ACUACACUGUUGCUCAUGGCAACACCAGAUCAUUAACCCACUGAGCAAGGCCAGGGAUCGAACGCACAUCCUCAUGGAUCAGAGUCAAGUUUGUUACCACUGAGCCAGGACGGAAACUCCCUCCUUGUUAACUUUUAAUUUGCCCUUCUGUUAAGUUGCCCAGUGAUAACACCUGUGAUUUUUAAGGGUUUCUUUAGAAUUCUGUAGCUCCCCCGGUGACUAUGAGAUGAACAUGAUCAACUUUAUCUUUAGCAGUUGCAGAUCCUGGGGCUUACCUCCUCAGGCACUGGGACCUCGGAUGCUCGUAGUGCCUACAGGCCUGGCUGGUGGUUCACUUCACUCACCAGCCCUUAACUUCUAGGGGUCAUGUCGUUGCACUGAAUCAUCCUUCUGAAUGGUGUGUGGGCACUGAGAGGGAUCCUCUCAGGCUUUAAACUCCUGGUGAAACUGACAGCACUAACGGGCUGAACCUAGCCAGAACACAGAUUGGGACUUAAACACACGUGCUGGGACUUGAACCCACAGUUUUAAAUUAGAAUUACUCACCCUGUGUCUGGACUCAGUAAGGUUCAGAUUCUCUGUGCCUCUGCACAUAAGGAAUUCAGCAAGAGACAAAGUAAUAGGCAAGAAACAGAUUUAUUAGGAUAGGAGGCUUGUGAGAGAUGCAAUCGGGCAGUCAGGGAAACCCAGCCCGGGGAGGAUCUGGUGGGCUACAGACUUAUCAUCCAAGGGGCGUGGUGGUUGGAAAGGCCCGCCUCUUCCUUUCUGGGAGUAGUAGCUCCUCCUUGGUAUCCAGUAAGGUGUGUAUUCAAAUCAGCAGAAGGGCGGUCCUCAAACUCUUGCCCUUGGUCUGAAUCUGAAUGCACGCCUCAUCCCUAGGACCUGAAGCAAUUUUCGUACCUCCACUAGUCAAGCAAGCCUGCCUUGUGCUGAUGGCUUUCUUGAACUUGCAGUGGUCUCCCCACAUCCCCCAGGUGUCCCUCUUUAUCUGUGAUCCCCUACUGGGACUUCUACAACCACCUGUGCCUACUCUAUCCCUAUCCCUGGGACCAUUGAAAUUUUCUUCCUCACUUUCUCUGGUUUUAGUUCAGAUGGAUGCCCUUCAUUAGGACCUGAAUUAAACUUGGAUGUCAGAGACUCCCAAAUCUCCGUGGCAUAGUGUUAGUGUAAUGGGGGUGAGAACGGGAUGCAGCUUCUAUUAUAUUCCCGUGUCCUUUUCUGAACUCCCUUCUUCCUUCUCAAGAGUGUUACAUGGCAAAUCAUUAAUUAAGAGUUUUUAAAAAUUACUCAUGUAACAUUUAACCUUGGGCCAGGCACUCUUCUCAACAGGUAACAAAUGGUAUUCAUUUAAUUCCUGGCAGUCCCUGAUGAAUGGGAAAAUAGGUUCUGAAAAGUUAGGUAAGCUUAUCUCAAUCACAGAGCAGGUGAUGAAGAAGCCAGGAUUCCACCCAGGUGUUUUGGCUCCUGCACGUCCUUAACCAUGAGGCUUUGCUCCCAUUCUUGGCUUGAAGAUGCCUUUUGCUGCAUCCCCACCCCAGGUCAGUGUGAAAGGCCUACAAGCUGGUUUCCUUACCGUCUCCCUCUCAAAGCAGCAGAAUAGAGAGUUCCUAAGGCUGAGGCUUCUAUAGAGAGUUUGCCAACCCGAUACGAAGCAACCUGUAUGAAAGCACCGGAUUGAAAGGCGUUGUCUGUGAAGUUGUUGUAGGACCGGGAAAUGUCCCAUCCUGAGAUGGACCACAAGAAAGGAUCCUUGGCUUUGCCCAAAAAUUCCUUGUAGUCUGAGAAGAAGACCUCUCUGUGUCAUGCUGACUGGCUCAACAUCUAAUAGAAAACACUGAAGAAGCAGAGGACAGAAUGGCAACCACAAUACUAGAAACUGAAGUGAGAAAUUCCAGAAAGUUUGGGGGGAACCCACAUUGUGCUGUAAAUGCUGACCAAAUUCCUUGCUUGACCUCUAAAUCAUGUAUGUGCAGAGACUCAAGGUAAGGCUCAAAGCAGCAAACUGCAAUUUGAGCUGCCACUCACUGCCUGCUAAACAAAUCAAAUGUGUGAGUUCCCUUCAUGGCUCAGCAGUUAAUGAACUCGACUAGGAUCCAUGAGGACAUGGGUUCAAUCCCUGGCCUCACUCAGUGUGUUAAGGAUCUGGCGUUGCCAUCAGCUGUGGCAACUUCCAU